rnacentral:tRNA from 1 species
UAGAGUUAAGCAUUUCCGAUGCAAGAAAUUGUUAUUUUCUAGAAGUUCCUCUAGC